rnacentral:rRNA from 1 species
AGUUUGAUCCUGGCUCAGAUUGAACGCUGGCGGCAGGCCUAACACAUGCAAGUCGAGCGGUAACAGGUCCAGCUUGCUGGACGCUGACGAGCGGCGGACGGGUGAGUAAUGCAUAGGAAUCUACCCAGUCGUGGGGGAUAACCUGGGGAAACCCAGGCUAAUACCGCAUACGUCCUACGGGAGAAAGCGGGGGCUCUUCGGACCUCGCGCGAUUGGAUGAGCCUAUGUCGGAUUAGCUGGUUGGUGGGGUAACGGCUCACCAAGGCGACGAUCCGUAGCUGGUCUGAGAGGAUGAUCAGCCACACUGGGACUGAGACACGGCCCAGACUCCUACGGGAGGCAGCAGUGGGGAAUAUUGGACAAUGGGCGAAAGCCUGAUCCAGCCAUGCCGCGUGUGUGAAGAAGGCUUUCGGGUUGUAAAGCACUUUCAGUGGGGAAGAAGGCUUGUCGGCCAAUACCCGGCAAGAGCGAC